rnacentral:rRNA from 1 species
AUGGGCCUACGGGAGGCAGCAGUGGGGAAUAUUGCGCAAUGGGGGAAACCCUGACGCAGCAACGCCGCGUGCAGGAAGAAGGUCUUCGGAUUGUAAACUGUUGUCGCAGGGGAAGAAGACAGUGACGGUACCCUGUGAGAAAGUCACGGCUAACUACGUGCCAGCAGCCGCGGUAAUACGUAGGUGACAAGCGUUGUCCGGAUUUACUGGGUGUAAAGGGCGCGUAGGCGGGAUAGCAAGCCAGUCGUGAAAUGCGGAGGCUUAAACUGGG